GAUGAACGCUGGCGGCGUGCCUAAUACAUGCAAGUCGAGCGAACAGACGAUGCUCUUGCUGCUCUGUCGUUAGCCGCGGACGGGUGAGUAACACGUGUAUAACCUACCUAUAAUACGGGUAUAACUUCGAGAAACCGGAUCUAAUACCGUAGAAUAUAUUGAACCGCAGGGGGCAAUAGUGAAAUACGGUUUUUCUGUCACGUAUAGAUGGAUCCGCGCCGCUUUAGGUGGUUGGUACGGUAACGGCUUACCAAGGCAACGAUGCGUAGGCGACGUGAGAGGGGGGUAGGCGACACGGGAACGGAGACACGGACCAGAGGACUAAGGGAGGCAGCAGUAGGGAAUGUGCCGCAAUGGGCGAAAGCAUGACGGAGCAACGCCGCGUGAGAGAUGAAGAUGCUCGGAUCGUAAAACUCUGUUACGAGGGAAGAACAACUGUGUAAGGAAAUAUGGAGGUAUUGACGGUACCUAAUCAGAAAGCAACGGCUAACUACGUG
rnacentral:rRNA from 1 species